rnacentral:piRNA from 1 species
UUGAUGAGCAUCCUUACAUUGAUCAGGUAU